rnacentral:rRNA from 1 species
AGGACGAACGCUGGCGGCGUGCUUAACACAUGCAAGUCGAACGGUGACCCAGGGCUUGCCCUGGUGAUCAGUGGCGAACGGGUGAGUAACACGUGGGCAACCUGCCCCUGACUUCGGGAUAACUCCUCGAAAGAGGAGCUAAUACCGGAUACGACCACUUCGGACAUCCGAUGGUGGUGGAAAGUUUUUCGGUCAGGGAUGGGCCCGCGGCCUAUCAGCUAGUCGGUGGGGUAAUGGCCUACCAAGGCGACGACGGGUAGCCGGCCUGAGAGGGCGACCGGCCACACUGGGACUGAGACACGGCCCAGACUCCUACGGGAGGCAGCAGUGGGGAAUAUUGCGCAAUGGGCGAAAGCCUGACGCAGCGACGCCGCGUGAGGGAUGAAGGCCUUCGGGUUGUAAACCUCUUUCAGCAGGGACGAAGCGAAAGUGACGGUACCUGCAGAAGAAGCACCGGCUAACUACGUG